UGGAGAGUUUGAUCCUGGCUCAGAACGAACGCUGGCGGCAGGCUUAACACAUGCAAGUCGAGCGCCCCGCAAGGGGAGCGGCAGACGGGUGAGUAACGCGUGGGAACGUACCCUUUACUACGGAACAACUCCGGGAAACUGGAGCUAAUACCGUAUGUGCCCUUUGGGGGAAAGAUUUAUCGGUAAAGGAUCGGCCCGCGUUGGAUUAGCUAGUUGGUGGGGUAAAGGCCUACCAAGGCGACGAUCCAUAGCUGGUCUGAGAGGAUGAUCAGCCACAUUGGGACUGAGACACGGCCCAAACUCCUACGGGAGGCAGCAGUGGGGAAUAUUGGACAAUGGGCGCAAGCCUGAUCCAGCCAUGCCGCGUGAAUGAUGAAGGCCUUAGGGUUGUAAAGUUCUUUCACCGGAGAAGAUAAUGACGGUAUCCGGAGAAGAAGCCCCGGCUAACUUCGUGCCAGCAGCCGCGGUA
rnacentral:rRNA from 1 species